UCGUCGUCGUUGUCAGAGGAUCUUCUUAGUUUUCUCGUCUGCCGAUUUGCGUCAAUCGUUUCGUAAUCUCUUACCAAAUCGUUUGCUCUCGGCUUCUUCUCGACUCGACGUCACUGUUCCUACUCCUAACCGGCUUUUAGAUAAUGUCCGGCUCAACUUCUUCACUCGGGGCUCCUUCUGCCUAUAUCAGUCACGAGCUCGAGGAACUUCGCUCCAAACACGACCACCUUGAAAUGUUGGAGCAAUUGAUUAUGGAAGUUGUAAAGACAGAACAACGGACUCCGGUGGAGAAAUUGUUGCAAGGCCACCGUCUCCAGAGAAUGACCGAUUCUAUCAUACUUAAGUCUCGGGAACUUGUUCAAACCGAUGAAAAGGAGGAUGGUGAUGCAGUUUUAUCUGCAAUUUUGUCUCGACUGGUACAGGUU